CAGUACAUAACUGUCCGUACUUGCGUUCUGACGUACUCGUGAAACGUCAUCAUCGAGACUGCAUCGGACCAGACUAGUGGCAUAGAUAUGAAUCAGUAAAUAGGACACGCCCAUAGAUAUGAAUCAGUCGAUAGGACACGCCCCUUUGAGCUGCGUGCUACAGCGAGGCUAAGCUAGUGGGGGCAAAGUUUCAGUGCAUUGAUGUAGACUGCGUGAAAAAGGAAACAAGUAUGCCGUCUCACUGUGCUGCAUACAGUUGCACACUACGUCGUACGAUUGAGACCUUAGGCUGUAUAUUUAUAUACAGUCUAUGAUUGAGACAAGGAAACUUGGAAUGACUUUUCAUUGCCACCAACCACUGGAACACAUCUCCAAAGUUCUGCCUGGCCAGCUCAGCUUCCCCUCAGAAGAAGUGCCGCCACCUGCCAGAUGAAGGAGCCUUUUGAGAGGCAGCUGGCAUCGUGAUUGGACUGUACUUUGGUCUGUUCCAAUCCAGCUUCAGCUCCAGAGACGGCAGGCGGGACGAGUCAACGGAGGCCGGGUGGACGAAGGCAUGCAGCUGAGUACAAUCUAGAAAACAACAGAGGAAGAAACAAACAUAGUGUAUACAUCAUAUACUGUAUAAAAGACACAUCCACUGUAGAAUUGUAGUAAUUGUGGGCUGACUGAUUUACUGAUUAGCAGUAUUUUAUUUUUUACUGAUUUACGGUAAUAAAUCAAUUUAAAAAUGG